GCUUUCAUAGUGUAAUGGUCAGCACGCUCGGCGCGUAUUCGAGAGAUCUGUGGUUCGAAUCCUGCGAGGGCA
rnacentral:tRNA from 1 species